GCGGAGUUGAAGGAAAAUGGCAGGACAUGGAACACGCUGUCGUAUACGCCAAUCAAGAGCAUCCCAAACAUGCUCAAUGGAUGACAUGUCCAGUGAGUAUGCUGGCCAUGCACAAACUGUGAUGUCAGCUUCCAGAAAUUGUGUACAGAUCCUUGCAACAUGGGGCCGUCCAUUAUCAUGCUGCAACAUGAGGUGAUGGUCGUGGAUAAAUGGCACAACAAUUGGCCUCAGGAUCUUGUCAUGGUAUCUCUGUGCAUUCAAAAUGCCAUCAAUAAAAUGCACCUGUGUUCAUUGUCCAUAACAUUCGCCUGUCCAUACCAUAACCCCACUGCCACCACAGGCCACUCUACUCACAACGUUGACAUCAGCAAACCGCUCACCCAAAAGACGCCAUACACGCUGUCUGCCAUCUGCCCUGUACAGUGAAAACCGUGAUUCAUCCGUGAAGAGAACACCUCUCCAAAGUGCCAGACGCCAUAGAAUGUAAGAAUUUGCCCACUCAAGUCGGUUAUGAU